UACGGAGGGGGCUAGCGUUGUUCGGAAUGACUGGGCGUAAAGCGCGCGUAGGCGGAUCGUCAAGUCGGGGGUGAAAUCCCGGGGCUCAACCCCGGAAUGGCCUUCGAGACUGGCGGUCUUGAGUUCGAGAGAGGUGGGUGGAAUUCCGAGUGUAGAGGUGAAAUUCGUAGAUAUUCGGAGGAACACCAGUGGCGAAGGCGGCCCACUGGCUCGACACUGACGCUGAGGCGCGAAAGCGUGGGGAGCAAACAGG
rnacentral:rRNA from 1 species